rnacentral:lncRNA from 1 species
CCUCCUUCUAUGCGUCAUGCCUACUUGACUCUUCCUGAAUGUAAUUUUUCAUUUGAUUCUUCUCUUUUCUAAACACUAUGUAUAAAGGACCCCGUAAUGAUUUUGAUAAACAUAUAUUAGAUGAUAAGGACACCGUCCAAAUAACGUCUAUAUAAUUUUUAUUUUUUUUUAUUUUUAAGGGUCCCUGACUCAUUCUUGAUUUUGAACCCUUCCAUAGUUAAAAUCAGAAUGCUCUAUAUUGGACCCUUCCAAAUACUCUAUAUUGGACUCUUCCAUGUAUGUAUAAUUAAUA